GAAAUGCGAUAAGUAAUGUGAAUUGCAGAAUUCAGUGAAUCAUCGAAUCUUUGAACGCACCUUGCGCUCCUUGGUAUUCCGAGGAGCAUGCCUGUUUGAGUGUCAUGGAAUUCUCAACUCUAUUUGCUUUUGUGAAUAGAGCUUGGAUUUGGAGGUUUAUUGCUGGUACUUGUGAUCGGCUCCUCUUGAAUGCAUUAGCUCGAACCUUUGCGGAUCAGCUAUCGGUGUGAUAAUUGUCUACGCCGUUGCAGUGAAGCAUAUCAAUGGGCUCGGCUUCCAAUCGUCCUUUACUGGACAAUGACUUUGACCUUUGACCUCAAAUCAGGUAGGAUUACCCGCUGAACUCAAGC
rnacentral:misc_RNA from 1 species